GAUGAACGCUGGCGGCGUGCUUAACACAUGCAAGUCGAACGGAAAGGCUCCUGCUUGCAGGGGUACUCGAGUGGCGAACGGGUGAGUAACACGUGGGUGAUCUGCCCUGCACUUCGGGAUAAGCCUGGGAAACUGGGUCUAAUACCGGAUAGGACGAUGGUCUGGAUGCCAUUGUGGAAAGUUUUUCGGUGUGGGAUGAGCUCGCGGCCUAUCAGCUUGUUGGUGGGGUAAUGGCCUACCAAGGCGUCGACGGGUAGCCGGCCUGAGAGGGUGUACGGCCACAUUGGGACUGAGAUACGGCCCAGACUCCUACGGGAGGCAGCAGUGGGGAAUAUUGCACAAUGGGCGCAAGCCUGAUGCAGCGACGCCGCGUGGGGGAUGACGGCCUUCGGGUUGUAGACUCCUUUCGCUAGGGACGAAGCGCAAGUGACGGUACCUGGAGAAGAAGCACCGGCUAACUACGUG
rnacentral:rRNA from 1 species